ensembl:lncRNA
CUGCGGGGCACCCGGCCGGGAUGGCGCUGCGUGCUGGGCUCCGUCGGGCAGCGACGUCUCGAUGACGCUGUGAGGUACGCCAAGGAGAGCGCACAGGGAGAACAAAAGGACCCAGGGCUCACCCUUACCUUCAGACAGCUUUGUUUUGUUGCUUUUGAUGAAGAGGAGGAAGAAAAAAAGAGGAGGUAGUGGCCACACACCGACCUUUCACUGUCAAUACCGAAGGAGAUAUGGAGGCUCAUCCUGGCUGCUUUGCUCAGCUCAGCCCACACCUAACACCCAGGAUGGCAGUGCGAUACUACUGCAGGGAAGCCACCAGGUGUAGGAGCAGGCCAUCACUGCUUCACACAUUUCUGCUCAAUGAUCAUGGAGGAAGAUACACAAGCAGCUCUUUUGAAGCACUGCAUUAUUGUAAUUUUUCUGAGUAAAGCUUUGAAUGACUGCUGACUUAAUCCAAAACACACUUUUGGGUGAUUUAGAGCCAAUCUGAUUUUGGUAUAUCACUGGCUUUCAUUCAGAGCCACCUUGUGCUCACAUUUGUGCCCUGUAGCAAGCACAGGAGCCAAGCCCCAUCAGCCAAGAUCAGAAUCCCAACUUCAUACAUUUGCACCACAUUGGUGCUCUUCCACUGACAAUGCUUAUAGUUCUGCAGUGUGCUUAACCUGUAAACAAGCCUGAUGAUCCAAACUGUGUUUUGCUGUGCUUGUUUUAGCACUUUUAGGAUCACAUACAUCAACAAGAGUAUUGCAGUUCUGUUUGCAUACAUAAG